AAAGCUUUACAUGCUUAUUGCAAUGUGCUCUUGUUAGUUUGGAUGAGGUUUAAUCUUUGCCUCUGAUCUAAGAUCAGAUUUCUAACACCCCAGCCUGAUAGCUAAGGGGGUUUGGAAAUGGUGCUGAUCCUACAUCUGAUUAUGAAUAUAGGUUCAGUUGUAGAUUAUUUUCACUAGUGGGUAAUUGAAAAGUAAAAUAAUUGAAAAUGACUUUUAGAACACACCUUAGAGAGCAUGCUGAAGCUAUAUAUGGACACCCCUGCUGUGUACCUUUCAUCCACUUCCUGACAUAGUAAACCCCAAUCCAUCUCCAAGUACCAAGCAGAGACACAUUUUUCCAGUCUUUGGUAUGACUUGACUGGGGAUCGAACUCCCAGCCUUCCAAUGUCAGGGAGGGCAAAGCAUGAUCUUGACAAAGCAUGAUCUUGACACAGCAUGAUCUUAACACAGCAUGUGGUAAAAAACAAUACCAUGAAAAGUCUUAACAACACAAAAAUAACAAUACAAUGAACCAUAUGUUGUUGUUUUUACUUGAAGCUGCACUGUAAAGGAACAUGAAUAUAUUGGUCUUGUCAUGAUUUUAUUGUUUUUGCUGGUAGAGUAGAUAGCAGACCACGCUCUACCAGAUCAGAUACUCAUCAUGAGAGUUGGUGAGAGUGAGUGAGAGGAAGUGUGAACAGAGAGACAAAUUAUUGCGAAACUCCAUGUAUGCUGUAGUAGGCUAGAGUGGGAGGGUGUAUGUAGUGUAGUGGGGAGGUGAUCAUACUCAGUGCAUGGCCACUCUAUAAGAUGCUCAUUUGCAUUUGCCUCGCUCUUUCUGACUGAUUGAAACUUAACACCAGAGGUAACCGUUCUCUCUCUGUCAAGAUUUAUUUUGGUUAAGACCAGUUUUGCUUUCUGUGACUGCUCUUUGGGGAGGUGGUCGUUUCUGUGAAGGAUUUCCACAUUUCUCAUAUCUAGAAGUGGAAUUUGUUUCUUCCACUACUUUUUGUCUUGUCUUGUCUGCUGACAAGACGACCUGAGGAGUCAUACUGUACAACCCACACUAGUGCUUGGUCUUGCUCUGGGAAAUCUCUCUGUGUCUCUCGUUGUGUUCCGGGACCCCUGGUGCGUGGACCUCGCUCAUUUACUACUUGACUACCUCUUGGAGGAUCCUUUUUCAGUUCCUUAUAUUCUCUGAUCGGAGAGAUCAUGGCUGAGGGUGGUGUCCCGUACCCCUCCGUGUUCAUGGUGGAUAGCCAUGCAGCCUACCCACCGCUGCCCCCCAAACCGAGACCUCCUGGUCGGGGUGGUGUGGCCCAAAGCCUGCUGUUCUUGCUGGUUGGUCUGGCUUUGUGUGGCUUGGCCAUAGAGGCCUGCUUCAUCUACCACCUCUACUCCAAACAGGGAUCUGUGGAGUCAGGGUCAGCUGGUAUGAGUAUCCAAGACCAUGAGGAAUUUCCGAAGGAGGUUCCCCCAACUUCAAGACCAAACCCUAUUGUGUUGCCUUCAAAACCUGUUGCACAUCUGACAGCUGGACCUCAAGCACCCCAUGGAGAUGGAGUCAUGGUAUGGAACAUGCAGGCAGAACCAAUCCUCCAUGAAAUGGAGUACAAAGAUGGGAAGCUUGUCAUCCAGAAGGAAGGCUACUACUACGUCUACUCUAAGAUCUUCUUCAGUGAGGUCGAUGUUGCGUUCACACACUCGGUCUGCAGAACUACUCCACGGUACCUUGGGAAGGACAUUGAACUCCUUAAGUCCAGGAGAUAUCACCCCAAGUUUGGGAAAAUGAUGUCCACAUCAAACAGCUACCUGGGAGGGGUGUUCCACCUCUUUGAAGAUGACUCCAUCUUUGUCAAAGUGAAAAAUGUCACUCAAGUUCGGAUACAACAUUCCACAGAGAACGUGUUUGGUAUCUAUAUGAUAUAAUACGGGUUGAUGAUGAAGAUACUUUUUUUUAGAUAGCUGGCUGAUUAUCAUUGGUUUAAGGCAUAAUAAUACUGUAGGCCAAUUUACAUGUAAUAUUGCUACGCAGGGCCUUCCCCCUUCCCGGCACAUCCUCAUUUUCUUUAAACAAAUCCUUGCAUCAAGAUGCAUUUCGAUGAGUGGAAAGUGUACUGUUGAAGAAAAAGCCCCUUUAUAAUAAAUGUGCCAUACACUAGGCUACAGUUGAGCAGAGGCGUUUUUAGGAUUUCCACACAUGGAUUUUUUUUAGCAGGGUCGUAAAAUAAUCUGCCUUUUAAAAAAGGCAUGUCAUGCAGUUCUACGUCAUUUACAUGAAAGACAUUAGUUGAAUCUUGUAAUUACCACACAACUGACUGAAAUGACUGGAUACUCUGACACUGACAAACUGAGAUCAAUCUGGUCUUGAAUUCAAACAAACAAUAGCCCAGGCCAAUGAAGCGACACACGGAUUGUACAAUAUUCAGAGGAAAUAUAUAUAUAUAUAUAUAUAUAUAUAUAUACAGUAUAUCAUCGGUUACAGUGGGUUACUAAAUAAAACGUUGAGUGGCACACUGACUCACCUGAUGAUGAAGAUGAAGCCAUAGGCUUCUCACGGUGAGGGCUGAUGCGCUAGCUGUGGCAAUAGCCUAUCUCAAGAUGAGCUACUUUGAAAAAACAGUGCUGCUGUUAGCUAAAAAUUGGGAGUUGUUAAGAUUUUUUUUUUAUUGGUUCUAAAGACUGAUCAGUCUUCUCUUUUCACCAGUAGGCAUUUGUUUUCCAAACAGUGUGUUUUUCCCACAUUUUCAUUUUGAAAUCUACAAUCCAUAGAUCCAUAGAUGGCAGUUCCCAUUCAAGUCAGAACUGGCAUUCAUUGCUAGUGUACCCAUGAGUUUAACAGUCAAAUUCCCAGGGUAAGAGGUUACAAAACAUUUCAAUGGAGUAUAUAUCUAUGGCCAAAAAGCAACAAGCUGUAGCCUAUUUGGGGCGCAUGACCUUCCUGACUGUAGGCAUACCAGUAUCUGCCAAAAUAAAGGAAACACUCGAGUAACCAAGGGAUACAGUAUGUUACGGUGUGGGGUGCAUUUUCCUGGCAUGGUUUAUAUCCACAUGUAUAAUCUAAGGAGCAUGGAAGCUGUUCUGGCAGCUCAUAGUGGCAGCACCCUUUUAAGACACUUUUUGUUGGUGUUUGCUUAAUUUUGGAAGACAUCUAUGUGCUUGUGAUAAAACUUCAUUCACAGUUUUUUUUUAAAUAAACGAUUUAUCCUCUGUGGCUAAAUUAUGCUCUCAGUGUAUUUUGAAUAUUGAGAGCCGGCGCCUGUGGUUGGAUAAAAAAAUAAAUAUAUAUAAAAUAAAAAGUAUUAUUAUUUUUUGCCUCUUGGGCCCAGUCCUUGACUCACACAAUUGACCAGUCCUAUUUAUUUAUUAUGCAGUUAUUUUUUAAAAUUAUUAAUCAAUUACCCAAUCAAGACAGGGGACCCCCUACCUCCUCUCCUCCCCCCAUCUGAUGAUUAGUAGAGCGGCAGCAGGCAGCAGCUAGACUCAUUGAGAGCAGGGUCCUGAGUCUUCCUGUGAUUGAGUAUUGAGUGAAAAAGUAUCAAAUAUAUGCUACAGAUAUAAUAUAUACUAC